GUUGCCCUUCGGGGUAUACCUCACCACCCUUUGUUUAUUUAUACCUUUGUUGCUUWGGCAGACCCGGCUUCGGCCCACCGGCUCCGGCUGGUCAGUGUCUGCCAGAGGACCUAAAACUCUGUUUGUUAAUAUUGUCUGAGUACUAUAUAAUAGUUAAAACUUUCAACAACGGAUCUCUUGGUUCUGGCAUCGAUGAAGAACGCAGCGAAAUGYGAUAAGUAAUGUGAAUUGCAGAAUUCAGUGAAUCAUCGAAUCUUUGAACGCACAYUGCGCCCUCUGGUAUUCCGGGGGGCAUGCCUGUUCGAGCGUCAUUACAACCCUCAAGCUUUGCUUGGUAUUGGACAUUGCCAGUUUCUGGCAGGUCUUAAAAUCAGUGGCGGUGCCAUUUGGCUUCAAGCGUAGUAAUUCUUCUCGCUUUGGAGAUCCAAGUGGUUACUUGCCAAUAACCCCCAAUUUUU
rnacentral:rRNA from 1 species